CCUGUUCUAUAUAAAGACCUACAGGAUAAUGAGUGGAAAGGACCAGUGCCAUUGCUGACAUGGGGUCAAGGAUAUGGCUGUAUACAGCUAUUGACAAGACCAUACUGUCUGCCAGCAAAAUGUAUAAAGCCCCAGAACUCAACAACAUAAAGAAAUGAUAAUGACAGAAAUCUUUAUAAUAUCUGUUCUGUUAUGUCUCAAGUGACUUCAAAUCAGACUAAUCUUACUGAAAUAGUGCUGCCUGGAGUAGUGGGUGGUUAUGUUAAUUACACAGGUCAAGCAGUAACAGAAUGGACACAUCAAAUUGUAAA